ensembl:lncRNA
AAUUCCUCUGUGCAGAAAAAAUGGCACCCAUUGACAUUUAUUGAUGUUUGCUGAACUCUAUAGAGACAAAAUAGUGGACGUGAGCACAGUGAAGAGGUGGGUGGUGCAAUUUGGCAGUGGAGACAGUGACAUGAAAGACAAGCCUCGUUCCAGACAGCUGUGUACAGCUGUCACACUGCAAAAUGAAGAGUAUCUCCAUAAGCUCAUCUGUGAAAAUUGGCUAAUAGUGGUGACCAUGCUGGAAAAAUAGUGUUUGUUGCUGAGGGAUUCCCUCUAUCAAAUAUUGUUAUUUUGUUCUUUGUAUCUGUUGCAGUUUCCACAGAAACAAAUAGGAAGCAUUACUUUUGGAAUGACCUACAUUUGUAAUCAUUAUUUGGGCCCAGUUCUGAGUUCAAUAGAAGACACAGUCUGGGAAAGCACAUGCUGUCCAGAGGCUUAAUGGCAAUUCUCUAGGAUCCUGACAUUUCAAGAAAUAGCGUAUCAAGAAUGCAGAAGCCAAAGGAGUUCCUGCACAUUUCAAACAGAAGAUAAUAUAUGAUCCUGGGAUGUAUCUUCAUAGGCCCACUGCCCACCUGUAUGAGUAUUUUUAUAGUCUUCAGCCAACCCUGAGCCAGCAGUUUUCCACCUUUCUGUCAAAAACAUUUUUUGAGUAAACAUUGCAAGACAAAAGUAUGUUUGACUAGAGUCACUCAAGCUCCAUCUGAAGAGGUAAAUUACGUCUUCAUUGUGAAAUGACAAAGGUAAAAGAGAGAGGCACAAGUGUGAGUGAGGGUGACGGUUAUUUCUCCCUGUUUGUGGGUGACUACAAAGGAUUCUCUCCUCACAGCACCCACUAAACUGAGCUGUAGUGGUUGAAGCCUGGUAAGUUUAUUCCUGAUCAUGCAGAAUGAUGAUGUGGGACUUGAUUUUUAUCAGAAAUGCUUAUAGAGUAAACUCAUGUGAAUCUGUGUAAGUGUUCAGGAAGAAAUUAAGGGUAACAGAAAUGUAG